GGGGGUGUAGCUCAGUGGUAGAGUACAUACUUAGCAUGCAUGAAACCCUGGGUUCAAUCCCCAGCACCAGUA
rnacentral:tRNA from 1 species